UCCUACGGGAGGCAGCAGUAGGGAAUCUUCCACAAUGGGCGAAAGCCUGAUGGAGCAACGCCGCGUGAGUGAUGAAGGUUUUCGGAUCGUAAAACUCUGUUGUUAGGGAAGAACACCCGGGAGAGGAUCCCGGUUUGACGGUACCUGACGAGAAAGCCCCGGCUAACUACGUGCCAGCAGCCGCGGUAAU
rnacentral:rRNA from 1 species